GACGAACGCUGGCGGCGUGCUUAACACAUGCAAGUCGAACGGAAAGGCCCUGCUUUUGUGGGGUGCUCGAGUGGCGAACGGGUGAGUAACACGUGAGUAACCUGCCCUUGACUUUGGGAUAACUUCAGGAAACUGGGGCUAAUACCGGAUAGGAGCUCCUGCUGCAUGGUGGGGGUUGGAAAGUUUCGGCGGUUGGGGAUGGACUCGCGGCUUAUCAGCUUGUUGGUGGGGUAGUGGCUUACCAAGGCUUUGACGGGUAGCCGGCCUUAGAGGGUGACCGGCCACCAUGGGACUGAGAGACGGCGCAGACUCCUACGGGAGGCAGCAGUCGGGAAUAUUGCACAAUGGGCGGAAGCCUGAUGCAGCAACGCCGCGUGCGGGAUGACGGCCUACGGGUUGUAAACCGCUUUCGCCUGUGACGAAGCGUGAGUGACGGUAACUGGUCAAGAAGCACCGGCUAACUACGUG
rnacentral:rRNA from 1 species